GGAAAGUUGAGUAGAUCCUCAAUGAUGUUCCCUCCUGCCCAAAGAAUGGAUACCCUUAAUGAUUUACUUGCUGCAAGUGACCUUAUUUCUCUUCACUGUGCUUUGACAAACGAAACAAUUGAAAUUAUUAAUGCAGAUUGUUUGCAGCAUAUAAAGCCUGGGGCAUUUCUUGUGAAUACAGGUAGCAACCAGCUAUUGGAUGAUUGUGCAGUAAAGUAGUUUCUGAUUGAUGGUACCCUUGCAGGCUGUGCUCUGGAUGGUGCUGAAGGACCAUAAUGGAUGGAAGCAUGGGUAUGAUGAGUAGCCUUAGGGAGCCCCUCAAAGUUUCUAGACUUUCCAAGGAAAUUAUUAAAGUUUCUUCUAGUUAUCAUCACUCCUAUGCCAUUACAGGUUCAUAUUUCUUGCUAGAUACUUCAUUUAUCAUGGUUUCAUGGGGCCCAAGAAUAUUUACAUGUUUUUCAAUCUAUAUUCACAAUUCAUGCUACUUUAUAGAAUAUUAUAGUUAGGGGUUGUUUGGGGUA